ACAUGCCUACAACAUAGAAUUAAUGCACCAGAUCCCAUCAUAAAUCUGUAGUUAAGCACGCUCAGGCUAGAGUAGUACUAGGAUGGGUGACCGCUCAGGAAGUCCUAGUGUUUUACAUGCC
rnacentral:rRNA from 1 species